AACGAACGCUGGCGGCAGGCUUAACACAUGCAAGUCGAACGCCCCGCAAGGGGAGUGGCAGACGGGUGAGUAACGCGUGGGAAUCUACCCAGAUCUUCGGAACAACUGAGGGAAACUUCAGCUAAUACCGGAUACGCCCUACGGGGGAAAGAUUUAUCGUGUUCUGGAUGAGCCCGCGUUGGAUUAGCUAGCUGGUGAGGUAACGGCUCACCAAGGCGACGAUCCAUAGCUGGUCUGAGAGGAUGAUCAGUCACACUGGGACUGAGACACGGCCCAGACUCCUAGGGGAGGCAGCAGUGGGGAAUAUUGGACCAUGGGCGAAGGCCUGAUCCAGCCAUGCGGCGUGAGCGAUGACGGCCUUAGGGUUGUAAGGAUCUUUCAGUGGGGAAGAUAAUGACGGUACCCACAGAAGAAGCCCCGGCUAACUUCGUGCCAGCCGCCGCAGUAACAC
rnacentral:rRNA from 1 species